GAGCACCCUGUGGGCAUGAGCAGAAGGGAAGGGUGUCAGGAGAGGGGAGAGGCAGGACCGGGCUCUCUUGGGGUGGCAAAGUCCAGGGGCAACACUCACAGCAGAUCCUUUGGCUCCAGGAAUUCCAUCUGUUCCAGGGUUACCCUGAAAAAGGAGACAUUGUCAAAUAAGCAGCAAAGAAUGAACCCCAACCACCUCCAGCCCUCCAGGGUCCAGAUCCAGGGACCUGGCAUAGGUGCUGUCCAUUUCAGGGACAUUCCUACUGUGUGUUUCAAGGGGAAGAUGGGAUAGAAGGGGAUACAUCUAGAGAUGGGGACAGGCAUUGGGCCAGAAUGAAGGUUUGGUGAGUGGAGCCCACAACUGUCAGAGCAAAGUACAGAGUCAAGAGUUCCAAGGCCACAGACCCCAGACCCCCCAGGCCAAAGAGAAGCUGCACUUACAGAGGCACCAGCAGGCCCAGGGGACCCAGGAGUACCAGGUUCACCACGAGGACCUUGAGCACCUUCAGGACCACGGGCACCAGUGGGGCCGGCUUCACCCUGGGAAGAGACAGGGAGGAUGAAAUGAAGAAGAAGAGAGGGGACACAGACCUCUAGCGGGUGGGCAAUAGCUCAGGGCCAGCUGCGAGCACAGUACUGAAUUAUCCACAUGCACCCAGCCCUGCACAUGAACAUGUGCCUUCACACACAGGUCACGCUGCCGUUUUUGUCCCUGCCUGACUGAGCUGAUGACUUGAUGACUUCCCACGCCUGCCCCCUCUACUGCUCACCUCAUCCCUACACAGCGAGCCUCCACACGCCACGGCACAGCUACAUACUACAGCAAUGGGCAACCUGCUGUUCCAUCGACACCAUCAGAAAAUCGUGGGCUGGGGACCCUGCCAUCCUGGCACCGUGGGAUGAUGGACGGACACCGCUCUCUCCCCCACCUCCUGUUUUUCUAUUUUAUUGAGGACCUGAGGUCCCUUCUAAGUCUCUGAACAUCCCGGCUCAGAGCACCACCUCACUCCCAUCUGGCUGACGGGUGAACAGUGACACCCUGGCUCUGGCCCCAGUCUGUUCUCAGUAAGCCAGAAAGCCAAGGCAAAAGCACAUGGGGACUCUGCCCUCCCUGCUCUCAAUGCAGCCCAAUUCCCCUUGGGGGGGCCUCUAGCAAGCCCCCUCCCCACAGAAUGGCUUGUGCUUUUACUUUCAUUUUUUCCUGAAAAUUAUAACCCACUCUAGAUGGCAGAGUCCCUGGGGAGGGCUGCUGACCUGGAGAGAGGGCAGAGCCUCCUCAGGUUUCUUCUCAGAACAUUCCUGCUUCACUUUGGUAAUUAUUAUUUUCCAAAGGUCAGCCCCCCUCACCUUCCACUGUCCCUCUUCACAAUGGGUCUCCUUCACCCGGCUCCAGGACCUCAGACACUGUCUGGUUGCCAUGGAAACCCCGAGGAGGGGAAAAGCAACCUGAUGCCAGUGACACAUGGAGGCUCCUUAUUCAUUCCCAGGGACGUUCACACUGGAAUCCCUCCUGGGCUGCGAGGCCUGUCCCUGAACUGGCUGGCCUCCCACCGGCCUCUAGUAAUCCUCCAGAGAACUCCAUUAACAUGGCUUGGAAGAGCCAGGCACCCCAAAUGAAGCAGAAACCCAGAGGGGAGCGGGGCCUCCCUGCCUGUGCCCUCUUCCCUGCCCAGUUCCCUCCAGUGCCCGUCAGGGCCCCGAGCUUGCUCAGCUGUUGGGUCUCCCCUAGGUUUGCUUCCCUGUGCUGCCACUCCUGGCCUUCUGCCCCUGCCAGGCCUCUGGUAUAUCCCUGUCUUCUUCUCUGUCCGCCUUUCCCCACUCCAAAGUUGUAACUGGAUCUCCCACAUUUUCUCUUCUGUCUUACUUUCCCUCCAGGUGAGGCUGCGAGUGUCUGGCUUUUUGCCCUGCCUGGAUGGAGGGGCCAGUGGGUGGGGGUGGUGAGGAGCUACUUCUUAGAAGGGAGCAGGUGGUUGUUGAGGGAGCAGUGAGCAAGGGUUACGGGGAAAGGACAGCUUCUCGGCACCCAGAAAUUCCUGACGGGACAACAGGGCUCGUACCUUGGCUCCAGGAGCACCAGGGAAGCCAGGACCACCAGCAGGACCUACGGGACCCUGGAGAGAGCAGGCGGAUGAGAAGAGAGUAGACAUCGGAGUGCUGCUGUGGUUGCACCCAGUACACCCUGCAGACUGCCUUGGGCUGCGUAACAGGACUUAAAGCACAGCAACAAUGACCUGCUGAGGAUGAAAUGAACUUACCGGAGGCCCUGCGGGGCCUGGCUGACCAUCGUUGCCUCGGGCACCCUGUGAGCAAGAAGGAAGUGACCAUGAGAGGUGCCCACAGGCCCUGUCCAUCCCUGCUCCCGGCCCACCCUUACAGAAAACGAAGGAGACGCUGUAUCUUGGGUGUCCCAGGGCAGAGCACAAGGAUGGCGAGAGUCUGGCUCUGUUGCCAGGCUGGAGUGCAGU